rnacentral:misc_RNA from 1 species
GAUGAAGAACGCAGCGAAAUGCGAUAAGUAGUGUGAAUUGCAGAAUUCAGUGAAUCAUCGAAUCUUUGAACGCACAUUGCGCCUUCUAGUAUUCUGGGAGGCAUGCCUGUUUGAGCGUCAUUAAACCUCUCUCAAGUAUGAUUACUUGGAUGUGAAGGAAGAGUACCUUAAACUUAAGGAGUAUUCUCCUUUGAAAUUGAUUAGCAGAUGGUAAUGUUAUUAAAUCCCUGAUGUUGUAAGAAAUAACAGUGGUUUUGUAGACUAUUAUCUAGCUUUAAAUUAUAAUUUUUAUUAUGGUUGACCUCAAAUCAGGUAAGGAUACCCGCUGAACUUAAGCAUAUCAAUAAGCGGAGGA